rnacentral:lncRNA from 1 species
UUGUCGCUACGCGCUUACCAGCCUGGCCGUACCCUAUGGAUUUUGAGCAACAUUUGACGUGCUUAGAUUUCUUUUGGGGUUACAUUAAAAACAUUGUGUACGAUACUCCCAUAAGUGAUCACAUACUUGUAGUAGCAGUUGGAACAGAUGACAUAGUUGUGAUGACAGGUGACAGAGAAGGCAUACAGGGAGGAGAUCCCUGCAACAGUAGAUCUUUUCAUGUUUUCGGAGGUCUGGAGUCUCAUUCGAAAUUAUUCCAGGAUCUUCAUCAGACACAUCUGACUGCCUGGGAUUUUUGAUCUUGACGAACUCCUUCCUUGUUGCAGCAUUGUUGAAGAUGAUAUGUUCUGAUAUAUACAUCUUCAUUGCAAAUGCAAAGUGCAUGAUUAAAAAUCUGAAUAACUGAUAUGUAAAAUCACUUAUAUCAUCCACCGUCUUGCAAUGUCGACGCAUGGAUGUCGAGUUGUAGGAACAAUUAACUAUCCUUUGUUUUAUCCUGUAGGCAUCUAAAAAUAAUUAAAUAUUUAGUAAUUUAUAUUAAAAUAAAAUAUAUUGUAUACUUACUUUUUAAAAUGAAAUGUAUAUUUUUAAAUACUGAAGGAAAGUUGUUGUAUACUGAACAGCUGAAUCAAAGUUACUAUAUACCAGGUUGUCUUGUUAGACAGCCGCGCUGCUAUUGGCUCUCACGAAUGACGUCACUGUGGAAGCAAGCACUAUAGUUACCGUGUAGCUUCUACAUUAUUUUUUAACUUUUAAUUAAUUUGAAACUUGAUUUUACUUUUUGUGUAU